CCAGAUGUCAACAUCCCUAAAAGGACAUAAAAUCUUUUGUAACAGCAACCAGCUCUCAUCUUUCUACAUCACUGUCUUCCUCACAACAGUCGACUGAAUAAAUAACUGGUCUUGAGCGAGACCCUGAGACUGUUGAUACGCUGAAGCCUCUCUCUACAAUCUGACCUCAUUCCAGGGCUCCAAUCGCUUCCCACAUCCUACAGUAAACCUCUUAUCUUCCUCUGACAACAAACUCCUACCCUGACUUCCCCAGUCCCCACUGAGGACACCAUCAAUGCCCUUGCACCAGCAUAAAUGCAAAAUCAUCUUAAA